UAGGGAAUCUUCGGCAAUGGGGGGAACCCUGACCGAGCAACGCCGCGUGAGUGAAGAAGGUUUUCGGAUCGUAAAGCUCUGUUGUUAAGGAAGAACGAGUGUGAGAAUGGAAAGUUCAUACUGUGACGGUACUUAACCAGAAAGGGACGGCUAACUACGUGCCAGCAGCCGCGGUAAUACGUAGGUCCCGAGCGUUGUCCGGAUUUAUUGGGCGUAAAGCGAGCGCAGGCGGUUAGAUAAGUCUGAAGUUAAAGGCAGUGGCUCAACCAUUGUAGGCUUUUGAAACGGUUUAACUUGAGUGCAGAAGGGGAGAGUGGAAUUCCAUGUGUAGCGGUGAAAUGCGUAGAUAUAUGGAGGAACACCGGUGGCGAAAGCGGCUCUCUAGACUGUAACUGCCGCUGAGGCUCGAAAGCGUGGGGAGCGAACAGG
rnacentral:rRNA from 1 species